ensembl:lincRNA
GCUAAAUAUGGAUUGAUUUAUCCAUAUAAAACAAAACUUGGGGGUUGUCAAUAAUAUUUAAUAACAUAAAGAGAUCAAAAAGUCUGAGAAGUGUUGUUCUAGAUAAUAAGCUUCUUGGGACAUAUCUGUGACUUACAGUAUUUUUGUGUGUUUCCCUUUUUCACCCUGUCCCUUUCUGCAAUACCCUGUAUAAAUACUGAGUAGAACUUUAGCAUUCAAUAUAUAAAUUUUUGUAAAAUUGAAUUAAAUUUUUUAUCGUGAUUUUGAUCUUCAUUCAAAUUAAUACAGUGUUUCUUUAACCAGGAUAUUCUGUGCCAGAAAUUAGAAGAACUGACACGACAAAAUGACAAAAAUUCCUGGAGCUUCGAUUUUACUCAGAAGUUUGGAAUAAGAAAAACAAAUCAUUAUUCACAUGUUCAUUCUUCUCUGCUUAAAGUAGCAAUCUAGUGGAAAAGUUUCAAAAGCACCACCUUAAUAUAAAGAAGAAAAUAACUUUUCCCACACUUAAUAACAAAGUGUUAGAUGCUAACCAAAAGUGAGAGAAAUGGAAGCACUCUGGUGAUCUGCUUAAGAACUUGCCCUGGGGAGCUGCUGUCCUUCAGCUUAUGCUCCUCAAUAAGCACAUACGGAGCAGACCUGAACCCAGCCUACAGCCUGGAACCAAGCCCAGAUGACCCACUGUUAGGAGCAGAGAUAUUCAGCCAAACCCUUCUUAGGCCAGCUAAACCAUGGUUAACCUGAAGACCUAUGAACAAGAAAAUUACAUGCUGUUGAAGCCACUGAGUUUGGGGGUGAUUUGUUACACAUCAUUAUUGUAGCAAAGGCUCACUGAUACAGAUGGGCAGCCCAGUGUAAUGUGAUUAAGAAUACAGACUAUGAGACCAAACUCAAAGUCACAGAGAUGUCAAAUCUCUACCAUUUAUUAACUGUUUCUUUGGACACAUUUUUCAAACCAUGCCUCAGUUUUUUCAUUUAUAAAAUGGGAUGAUACCUAUUUAAUAUAGUCAAUAUUUAUAAAGUGCUUCAAACAGUGCCAGGCACAUAGUCACCCCCAUAGUAGUGUAUGUUGGAUAAAUAAAAUAAACCUUAUUAAUCCAUGAGUGUCAGCCAAAGACCUCAAUCAAGAACAUGAUUAUUCUGUAUUGUUUGCAUCUACAAGAGGAUGCUUCAUUCUCUAAAGAAAUUCUUCCCUAUAAUCAGGAGUCAGGGUAAGAUAAGAGUUCCAUCUGUUGAAGCCUUCCUUCUGAUAAGUCCAGCUACAUGGAUUUUAAUUCUGGGUCCACCAUCUGAGAGCUUGGGCCCUGGGCUAGACACUGACUCUCAAUUUUCUUAUCCGUAAAAUAGGGACUGCAAUAGUAAUUUAGCUCAGAGUAGUUGCCAGUAUUAUGUUAGAUCGUCUAAGAAAACAUUUUAGUACAAUGAAGCAUGCAUUAUAAACACUAAAAUUGUUAGUUAUUUUUAAUUUGGACAAACAAUUUUAGGAACUAUAAGAUAAUUUUUAGCCUGUCAAUACGUGGAUUGUAACUUCAAAGCAUUGUUUACCUGAAUUCACCAAAAAGUUACCUUCUCCGAUCUAUUUAAGCCGAAGCAGAUUUUUUGAAAGAGCACCUAACACCAACAACAGCAAAAAAUUUAUAUUUCUCUCCUCAACAACCACAAUUCUCUUUAGCUUUUAUUUUCAUGUUAUUCUGAUAUAUCAGCAUAAUACAAAUCAUGAAAAUCAUAAAAAUGAUUCUUGUUAUUGUGUCUAUGCUGUCUUCUCUUUUUAUUUGUAUGUAAAUAAUGUUGUCUCUGCUUUCUAUUUACUAACAAUAUUUCUAUUAUUAAUCAAAAAGAGCCCUCAGAUCACACUCAUUUCAAUAGCAAUUUAAUUUAAAAGGUAAGAGUUGUGGAUUAUGUGAAAUACUAAACCACAGUGAGUGUAUCUUUUACAUGAAAAUAACCUUAAUUUCCCUGCUUGACUGAGAAAAGAAAUAAAAAGAAUGAUUGCUAUAAAUCAGGAAAAAUUCAUAACUUGCUGGAGAUGUAACAGCUGUUGAUUUAAGGUUUGCAUCUUUGAUAACAUGAUGCUGCUGGGAAGAUAACAUCUUUUUGACAAAGCUAUGAACAUAAAAAUUACAAGGCUUUAUUCAACAUUUAAAUAUUUUCUCUGUAUCAUGUAGAGAAAAAAUAUCUCAUUCACUUACACUAAAAUGUAUUUGAAGUAUACCAGAUCUGGUCAGCAAACUUUACAAUACAAUUUCAUGUUUUCUUGUUACAUAGGUAUAUAGCAGACGUGUCACAUCAUAAAGAAAAAUAAAUUAUACUCAGUUUAGAGAAAUGGUCUACUAUUAUUAUGUACAAGUAGUUCCCAUCGUUGGUAACACAAACACAGAACUGAACAUACACUCGGGAUAUUAUUCAUUUCUUCCAUUAUCAGCUAGAAUUAGGUGAUUGAAAAAUUAGGUGACAAAACAAAGCAAGUAUUGUACUGUCUGGGAGAAAAUAUCACCAAAGCGGAAUCUUAAAGAGAUGUGAAAGAGAAAAACUUUGCCAAGCAGUUAGAAGCAAUAGCAGUAUUUUUAUUUAUCUAAAGGCCACUGUGCUAUUGUACAAGUUCUUGCACUGUUAACUCACAAGCUAUGAAGCUUUGUUUCUUAUAUAUUAGUGAAACACACUGGGAGCAUCAUCAAGGAAGUACUUAGAAUGACACUUGUAUUGACCUUCCAAGUGUCCUCACUCUUAAAAUAAACUCAUUGUGCUACCUUUCUUCUAUGAAUUGCAUUUAUCUUAGAAACACAGAUAUGCUUAUUAUAAAUAUUCUUUUAAUAACCCUGUCUUUUAUCUAAGAUAUUCUUGCAAUGUCAUUGUAACCCAUACAUACUCCAUACCCUCUAAACACCUACAGUCACUAUUCCUUCUAAUAGUCAAAUAAAAUUAUUCAAAUCCCCGUGCCACAUGCUCUGGGAAAUUCAAACUCAGAGUUGCCCACAAUUCUUCGGGAUACCAGUCACUCUGUAAUUUUACUUUGCUUUCUUGCUCUUGCCUAAUUCUUGAUCCCUACCAGUAGUUUAUCCUCCUGGAGCCACAGCCUUCUCCCUGUACAUUUCAUACCAAGUUGGACACUAUUCCUUGUUUGUUGUACAAAGCAUCAUUUCCCAAGGUUGUGUGUACAAAAGAGUAUUAGUGAAGGUUUGCAGAAAUAGGCAAUAGCUUUAAAUUGAAUGUUGGACAUCCCUGCUCAUUCAUUUAUUCACUCAUUCAACAAAUUUCUAUCGAGCACCUCCCAUGUCCAGGUACUGUUCAAGACCAGUGAGAAAAAUAGAAGAAAAAAAAGAUCUUCUUUGACAGAGCUCGCUGUCUAGUGAUGUGACACAGAAAAGAAACAAAAUUAAUGAAUAAGGUAUAUAAGUUAGAAAGUGUUAAAUGCAAUAAAUAAAAAUAAAGCAGGGAAGGUGGCAGGGGAGGCAGGAUGCUUCCUUAGGAAAGUAAACUUUGUAAAUAUUACGUAAUUUAUCCCAUUUACCUCCACAAAUUUUGAGCAUCACUAUGCACAUACGGUUGUGAUAACUGUAUAAUUUGAAUGGAAAAAAAGAAAGUAAAUAUAUGCUAGAAUCAGCAAAAGCCUGAUCUCAAAUAUUGCAGGC